rfam:Candidatus Blackburnbacteria bacterium RIFCSPHIGHO2_01_FTLL_43_15b rifcsphigho2_01_scaffold_29944, whole genome shotgun sequence.
GGGUUAGUAAGGGCGUAUGGUGGAUGCCUUGACACCGAACGGCGAAGAAGGACGUGGCGUGGCUGCGAUAAGCCUCGGGGAGGUGCUUAGCGACCGUUGAUCCGGGGAUGUCCGAAUGGGAAAACCCCAUCGCGUAAACCGCGAUGAUCCGCUCCCGUAAGUGGAGCGAGAAGCGCACCCGCUGAAGUGAAACAUCUCAGUAAGCGGAGGAACAGAAAACAAUCUCGCAGCAAUGCGGGACAAUUCCCUUAGUAGCGGCGAGCGAACCGGGAAGAGCCUAAACUACGACCACCGAUUGUAAAAAUUGGAGGUCGGAGGGUUGCAAGAUGAGAACACAUUCCUGGCGUACAACUUACAGCUGAUCCCGCAAUUGCGGGAUUGGUGGUGAGUUGUUCGUUGGGAGUAUGGAGUUACAAAUUGAUUUGCUAGCAGAACGGGCUGGAAAGCCCGACCAAAGAAGGUGAUAGUCCUGUACGCGAAAGCAGAUCAACUUCAGUUUUCAAUCUUAAGUACUCCGAGGCAAACAAACUUUGGAGGAAACAGCGAGUACUAUCUCGCAAGGCUAAAUACGUUCGGUGAUCGAUAGUGAACUAGUACCGCGAGGGAAAGGUGAAAAGUACCCCGGGAGGGGGAUGAAAUAGUAUCUGAAACCAUACGCUUACAAGGACUCGGAGCCCGGCCGAUGCGCAGCACGCAACUCAUAACUCGUAACUAAUAACUUAUAACAAGUUGUUAGUUGUACGUUUUAAGUUGUAAGUUGCGCGCUGUGCAGCGGUGGGUGACGUGGUGCCUAUUGAAGAAUGAGCCAACGAGUUUACGGGUAUGGCAAGUCUAAGGCCGCUUAGCGGCCGGAGGCGUAGGGAAACCGAGUGUUAACAGCGCGUUCACCCUCCCAACUUUGCAUCAGAGCAUUUUCCUUGUAAUAAGGAAGUGCCGGGGGCAAAGUUGGGAGGGUAAAGCCGUAUCCGUAAGACCCGAAGCCAGAGCGAGCUUACCCUGGCCAGGAUGAACCCCGCGUAACAGCGGGGGGAGGUCCGAACUGGUGGGUUGUGCAAAACCCUCGGAUGAGCUGGGGUAAGAAGUGAAAAGCUAAUCGAGCCUGGUAAUAGCUGGUUCUCUCCGAAAUAGUUUUAGGACUAGCGUCGCGAUCUUUUGGUGCGGGGGUAGAGCUACUGGUUCAGGAGUAAUGGGCGAAAGCUCGACUCUUGAGUCAAACUCCGAAUACCGUAUCAUAUGCGCGAUAGUCAGAAUGUGGGGGCAAAGCUCCAUGUUCGCGAGGGGAACAGCCCAGAUCGUCGUCUAAGGUCCCUAAAUCUUCGCUCAGUGUAAAAGGUAGUCGUGAAGCAGAGACAGAUAGGAGGUUGGCUUAGAGGUAGCCAUCCUUUAAAGAGUGUGUAACAACUCACUAUUCAAGGUUCACGGCGCCGAAAAUGUACCGGGGCUAAGCGAAGUACCGAAGACACGGGUCUCCGACCUCAAUAUUCUUUAUUGAAUGAUGUGGUCGGAGGCGGUAGGAGAGCAUUUCGAGUGCACUGAAGCAGGAUCCGCGAGGACCUGUGGAGCGCUCGGAAGAGAGAAUGUUGGUAUGAGUAACCACAUAUCCAAUGAGAAAUUGGAUCCCCGAAAAUCCAAGGUUUCCGUGGCAAUGGCAAUCAACCACGGGUUAGGCGAUCCUAAGGCAAUGGUGAGAACCGCAGCCGAUGGGAAGCCGGUUAAUAUUCCGGCCCGCGCGCCGAUGUGCGAUGGGGUGACGGAGGAAAAAAGACUGCGCGUCUUAAUGGUUUGGCGUCGCGCGCUUCAAGAAAUGUAUUCAUGGAAAAUCCGGAAUGCUGCCUUUAAUGGCGAAUUUCGCGGGCGUGCGUAAGGUGAGGUUUUUACCUCGCCAAUGCAGUUGAAGAGCCUUCCAAGAAAAACCUCUAAGUUUAGUCGGCGUGCAUCGUACCGUAAACCGACACUGGUGGAUAGGGCGAGUAGCCCAAGGGGAACGAGUGAUUCUUCGUUAAGGAACUCGGCAAAAAAGCGGCCGUAAGUUCGCAAUAAGGCCUGUCCGACCUCAGAUUUAGCAAUAAAUAGGUGGUCGGACCGCAGCGAAAGUAUCUCUGGCGACUGUUUACCAAAAACACAGCUCCCUGCGAAAUCGUAAGAUGAUGUAUAGGGGGUGACACCUGACCGAUGCGAGAAGGUUAACGGUGCCGAUCUAUGUCGUUUACUCGGUAUAGGAUGAGUGCCCGAAGCCCUCGUCAAUGUCAGCGAUAACUAUAAUCGUUCUAAGGUUCUGCACUGGAUUUAGUCUGGUGUAGAAGGAUUGGAACGAUUAUAGAUUAGGUAAAUAGUUCAAAAUUACAUCAAAAAAUAGCUACCUCAUCGUGUGGUAACGCACGAAUGAUCCUACGCGACUCAAAAGAGACUAUACGUCGCGCUCCUAGAAAUAGGAUGAAGAUAUAGUCCUUCGCAUAAAGGAAGUGAAGAGCGCAAUUCCUUUUCGGGUAAGAGAACUUGCCCCUUUCCGCCGUGAGGCGGAUCGAAGAAGACGGCUUAUAACGGUGAACUCCAAAUGGUAUAAUGAAUACAUGGACAAUACCGUGGGAAGUCUUCCGAUAUCACGUCGGACUGACCCCGUAACGACUGGAUCCCGCAAUGCGGGACGAAAUAGAUCGGUAUCAACCGACUAUUACACGCCGUCCUCUACCUUGAAGCUAAGAAAUAUUCCCGAUUACAUUUCGGGAUAUGUUGACGGUGAAGGAUGCUUUACGGUUACCUUCAAUGCAAAAGCGAAAGCAUUAUUAGGAUGGGAGUUACGGCCAAGUUUCUCGGUAAGCCAAAACGAGGACAGACGACAAGUUUUGGAUAUUAUUCGAGAAUAUUUUGGCUGUGGCUACAUUCGUCGCGAUUACGCUGAUAAAACUGUUAAGUUUGAGGUUCGUGAUCAUGACGAACUCAUGACAAAAGUAAUUCCUCACUUUGAACGAUUUCCAUUGCUUUCGAAAAAACAAAAAGACUUCGAGUUGUUCAGAAGUAUUUGCAAGUUGAUUGAUGAAACGCAACAUCUUAAUCGAGAUGGAUUCGUAAAUAUUCUACAACUUGCAUACCGUAUGAAUGGUUCGGGAAAACGAAAGCGAACUAAAGAGGAAAUUAUCAAAAGACUUCAACGUAGAUGAUGAUAUAGUCUGAUCCUUGCCGUAAGGCAAGAUUAACAACGGAAGAAGUUCCGAAGCGCACGAAUGGUGUAACGACUGGAGAACUGUCUCAACGAAGAGCUCGGUGAAAAUGCGAUUCCCGUGAAGACGCGGGAUACCUGCAACAAGACGAAAAGACCCCGGAAGCUUUACUGUAGCUUGGUAUUGGGCUUACGGUGUUCAUGCGUAGCGUAGUGGUGAGGGGUUGAAGGUUCGAUUUUGGUCGGACUGGACCCGACAAUGAAACAGCCAUCUUGAAUAUUGUAAGUUCUAACCCCGUGGGCAAAAACCACGAGGGACAGUGCCUGGUGGGCAGUUUUAAUGGGGCGUUAUCCUCCUAAAAAGUAACGGAGGAGUUUAAAGGUUGGCUUAGCCCGGAUGGAAAUCGGGCUGGACGUGCAAACGCGUAAGCCAGCUUAACUGCGAGGCCGACAAGCCAAGCAGAUGCGAAAGCAGAAGUUAGCGACCCGACCAUUCUUCAUAGGAAGGUGGGAGAUAUCGGACAAAAGCUACUCCGGGGAUAACAGGCUGGUGUUGCCCGAGCGUCCCUAGCGACGGCAACGCUCGGCACCUCGAUGUCGGCUCGCCCUAGCGCGGGGGUGGAGAAGCUCCCAAGCGUAUGGCUGUUCGCCAUUUAAAAGGGCACGUGAGCUGGGUUAGUGACAACUACAUGGAGCCCAGCAAAAUCUUUGAUCGAGAAUAAAUAUUUCAGAGAGAAAUAAACUGACUCAU